GUAGGGAAUAUUGCACAAUGGGCGAAAGCCUGAUGCAGCAACGCCGCGUGCGCGAAGAAGGCCUUCGGGUCGUAAAGCGCUUUUCGGGGAGAUGAGGAAGGACAGUAUCCCCGGAAUAAGGCUCGGCUAACUACGUGCCAGCAGCCGCGGUAAAACGUAGGAGCCAAGCGUUAUCCGAAUUCACUGGGCGUAAAGCGCGUGCAGGCGGCUCGGUAAGUUGGAUGUGAAAUCUCCUGGCUCAACUGGGAGAGGCCGUUCAAUACUGUCGGGCUAGAGGGCGGCAGAGGGAGGUGGAAUUCCCGGUGUAGUGGUGAAAUGCGUAGAUAUCGGGAGGAACACCAGUGGCGAAGGCGGCCUUCUGGGCCGUACCUGACGCUCAGACGCGAAAGCUAGGGGAGCGAACGGGAUUAGAUACCCGAGUAGUCC
rnacentral:rRNA from 1 species